rnacentral:lncRNA from 12 species
CUGGGUUAGGGUGCAGAGGAGGACUCUGCUGUAAAUCAGACUGGAAAUCUAGGGGAUUAGGGGUGGUGGAAUGAUUUCACCAGGAACAGAGGCAUAAUUACACCCAAGAGUAUAAUGUGCUAAUUCAAGAGUCAUGAAAUGGAGAGGCUUAUGGAGUUAUCAUUGGUAUGAGAGGCUUGGGUACAAUUUGUGCCUUUGGAGAUACGGCAUUCUUCAUGACCCUGAAGGAGCCAAGGAGAAGAAAUGGAGGAAUAAAGUUGAGGCUGGAGGCUGGAGAGUCUGUUAGCAAAAAUGACACUGGCUUUUGAGUUUGAAGAAGUUUGUUUUUGAGAGGAUGCGGUUUAAACUCCUUUUCCAUCCUCAGAAACUCGGUGCAACUGUUAUAAAGGGAAUAAAAACCAGAGAGAAUUUAAGAAAAAGGAAUGGACUCAAAUGCAAUGUAAGAGAUGGAUACAGACAAAAAUCCUGCCACUGCCUCUACCUGGAACUCUGAAGUUAGAGCAACAGUAACCAUGGAUGAGACUUGGAGCAUCCUCUUUAGAUGAGUCCAGAUACACUGAUGUAUGCCAUAAUUCUAUACUACAAUCCAUUGCCUGCCAACAACUCUAGCAUCGUGAGAACUAAUCUGUCAUGCCAGUGAAACGUUCUUAUCUCAGGUGAGGUGUCUCAUAGCUGCUCCUGCCCUAUCUUGGUUCCUCUUUUCACCUCCCUCAACUGGUUUACUAUUAAUGUUUCAUUCAGCAAAACCAUCCAACCCAACUAGAUUCCAUUUAGUUCUUCUGUGCCCUCUCUGUAGAGACUGAAGUUCACUAUGAGACUGAAGACUGGUAGAUGGAGGCAUGAGUAAAUUAGAGGCUAUCCUUCACCACCAGUAGCUAUAUGGGUGACAGAUAACUCAAUACAGAUUUCUGGAGUGCUGCCAGGGAUCAUAUUAGCCUCAGGCUCAGAUAUUAUUUCUGUUUAAGCGAAAGCCCACAUUGGAAGU